rnacentral:rRNA from 1 species
CCCUUAGAUGUUCUGGGCCGCACGCGCGCUACACUGACGAAGUCAGCGAGCAUGUCCUACGCCGACAGGUGCGGGGAAUCUUGUCAAACUUCGUCGUGAUGGGGACUGAUUAUUGAAAUUCUUGAUCAUCAACGAGGAAUUCCUAGUAAGCGCAAGUCAGCAACUUGCGUUGAUUACGUCCCUGCCCUUUGUACACACCGCCCGUCGCUACUACCGAUUGAAUGGUUUAGUGAGAUCUUCGGAUUGGCGCCACUGCGGCUCAGCAAUGGGCUCGGUGGAUGCCGAAAAGUUGAUCAAACUUGAUCAUUUAGAGGAAGUAAAAGUCGUAACA